rnacentral:rRNA from 1 species
AGCGUAGACGGAUGGACAAGUCUGAUGUGAAAGGCUGGGGCUCAACCCCGGGACUGCAUUGGAAACUGCCCGUCUUGAGUGCCGGAGAGGUAAGCGGAAUUCCUAGUGUAGCGGUGAAAUGCGUAGAUAUUAGGAGGAACACCAGUGGCGAAGGCGGCUUACUGGACGGUAACUGACGUUGAGGCUCGAAAGCGUGGGGAGCAACA